AACGCACCUUGCACUCUUUGGUAUUCCGAAGAGUAUGCUUGUUUGAGUAUCAUUAAAUUCUCAAACCACUACUUGGUUUUAUAUCAAGUCAGUGGCUUUGGAUGUGGAGGUUGCAGGCUUCUUGUAAAGUCUGCUCUUCUUAAAAGCAUUAGUGGUUAUUGAUUCCACUUCUUGGUGUGAUAAUAUCUACGCCUUGUAAGAAUGGAUCUAAUGUAGCUGCUCUCAAACCGUCUUUAUUGACAAUUUGAACCAUUUGAUCUCAAAUCAAGUAGGACUACCCGCUGAACUUAA
rnacentral:misc_RNA from 1 species